rnacentral:rRNA from 1 species
GGAGGAAAGUAGGGGAUCGCAAGACCUUGCGCUAAAGGAGCGGCCGAUGUCUGAUUAGCUAGUUGGUGGGGUAAAGGCUUACCAAGGCAACGAUCAGUAGUUGGUCUGAGAGGACGGCCAACCACACUGGGACUGAGACACGGCCCAGACUCCUACGGGAGGCAGCAGUGGGGAAUUUUGGACAAUGGGCGAAAGCCUGAUCCAGCCAUGCCGCGUGAGUGAAGAAGGCCUUCGGGUUGUAAAGCUCUUUUAGUCGGAAAGAAAGAGUUGCAAUGAAUAAUUGUGAUUUAUGACGGUGCCGACAGAAAAAGCACCGGCUAACUACGUGCCAGCAGCCGCGGUAAUACGUAGGGUGCGAGCGUUAAUCGGAAUUACUGGGCGUAAAGGGUGCGCAGGCGGUCUUGCAAGUCAGAUGUGAAAGCCCCGGGCUUAACCUGGGAAUUGCGUUUGAAACUACAAAGCUAG